rnacentral:rRNA from 1 species
UACGUAGGGUGCAAGCGUUGUCCGGAAUUAUUGGGCGUAAAGAGCUCGUAGGCGGUUUGUCGCGUCUGCUGUGAAAACUGGGGGCUCAACCCCCAGCCUGCAGUGGGUACGGGCAGACUAGAGUGCGGUAGGGGAGAUUGGAAUUCCUGGUGUAGCGGUGGAAUGCGCAGAUAUCAGGAGGAACACCGAUGGCGAAGGCAGAUCUCUGGGCAGUGGCUGACGCUGAGGCGCGACAGCGUGGGGAGCAAACAGG